GACGAACGCUGGCGGCGUGCUUAACGCAUGCAAGUCGAACGAAGAGCGAUGGAAGCUUGCUUCUAUCAAUCUUAGUGGCGAACGGGUGAGUAACGCGUAAUCAACCUGCCCUUCAGAGGGGGACAACAGUUGGAAACGACUGCUAAUACCGCAUACGAUCUAAUCUCGGCAUCGAGGAUAGAUGAAAGGUGGCCUCUACAUGUAAGCUAUCACUGAAGGAGGGGAUUGCGUCUGAUUAGCUAGUUGGAGGGGUAACGGCCCACCAAGGCGAUGAUCAGUAGCCGGUCUGAGAGGAUGAACGGCCACAUUGGGACUGAGACACGGCCCAGACUACUACGGGAGGCAGCAGUGGGAAAUCUUCCGCAAUGGACGAAAGUCUGACGGAGCAACGCCGCGUGAGCGAUGACGGCCUUCGGGUUGUAAAGCUCUGUUAAUCGGGACGAAAGGCCUUCUUGCGAAUAGUGAGAAGGAUUGACGGUACCGGAAGAGAAAGCCACGGCUAACUACGUG
rnacentral:rRNA from 1 species